rnacentral:rRNA from 1 species
UGACGUGGGCGCAGCCUGACCGCCUGCCGCGUGAGUGAUGAAGGCCUUCGGGUUGUAAAGCUCUUUUGUCCGGGAAGAUAAUGACUGUACCGGAAGAAUAAGCCCCGGCAAACUUCGUGCCAGCAGCCGCGGUAAUACGAAGGGGGCUAGCGUUGUUCGGAUUUACUGGGCGUAAAGCGCACGUAGGCGGCUUGUUAAGUCAGGGGUGAAAUCCUGGAGCUCAACUCCAGAACUGCCCUUGAUACUGGCAAGCUCGAGUAUGACAGAGGUUGGUGGAACUGCGAGUGUAGAGGUGAAAUUCGUAGAUAUUCGCAAGAACACCAGUGGCGAAGGCGGCCAACUGGGUCAUUACUGACGCUGAGGUGCGAAA